rnacentral:rRNA from 1 species
UGCAUAUCAAAAAGCGGAGGAAAAGAAACUAACAAGGAUUCCCCUAGUAACGGCGAGUGAAGUGGGAAAAGCUCAACUUUGAAAUCUGGCACCUUCGGUGUCCGAGUUGUAGUCUCAAGAAGUGUUUUCUGUGCUGGUCCAUGUAUGAGUCUGUUGGAACACAGCGUCAUAGAGGGUGACAACCCCGUUCAUGACAUGGAUACCAGUGCUUUGUGAUACACUCUCGAAGAGUCGAGUUGUUUGGGAAUGCAGCUCAAAUUGGGUGGUAAAUUCCAUCUAAAGCUAAAUAUUGGCGAGAGACCGAUAGCAAACAAGUACCGUGAGGGAAAGAUGAAAAGCACUUUGGAAAGAGAGUUAACAGUACGUGAAAUUGUUGAAAGGGAAACGAUUGAAGUCAGACGUGCGUGAUGCGGUUCAGCACUGGUUCGCCAGUGUGUAUUCCGUAUCUUUGCAGGCCAACAUCAGUUUCGGUAGUCGGAUAAAGGUUAGUUGAAUGUGGCACCCACGGGUGUGUUAUAGCUUCUAACUGAAUACGAUUUCUGGGACUGAGGAACGCAGCGCGCCGCAAGGCAAAGGUUCCGACCUUUUCGCGCUUAGGAUGUUGGUGAAAUGGCUUUAAACGACCCGUCUUGAAACCACGGACC